GACGAACGCUGGCGGCGCGCCUAACACAUGCAAGUCGAACGAGAGAUGAGGAGCUUGCUCUUCAAAUCGAGUGGCGAACGGGUGAGUAACGCGUGAGGAACCUGCCUCAAAGAGGGGGACAACAGUUGGAAACGACUGCUAAUACCGCAUAAGCCCACGGCUCGGCAUCGAGCAGAGGGAAAAGGAGCAAUCCGCUUUGAGAUGGCCUCGCGUCCGAUUAGCUAGUUGGUGAGGUAACGGCCCACCAAGGCGACGAUCGGUAGCCGGACUGAGAGGUUGAACGGCCACAUUGGGACUGAGACACGGCCCAGACUCCUACGGGAGGCAGCAGUGGGGAAUAUUGCACAAUGGGGGAAACCCUGAUGCAGCGACGCCGCGUGGAGGAAGAAGGUCUUCGGAUUGUAAACUCCUGUUGUUGAGGAAGAUAAUGACGGUACUCAACAAGGAAGUGACGGCUAACUACGUGCCAGCAGCCGCGGUAAAACGUAGGUCACAAGCGUUGUCCGGAAUUACUGGGUGUAAAGGGAGCGCAGGCGGGAGAACAAGUUGGAAGUGAAAUCCAUGGGCUCAACCCAUGAACUGCUUUCAAAACUGUUUUUCUUGAGUAGUGCAGAGGUAGGCGGAAUUCCCGGUGUAGCGGUGGAAUGCGUAGAUAUCGGGAGGAACACCAGUGGCGAAGGCGGCCUACUGGGCACCAACUGACGCUGAGGCUCGAAAGUGUGGGUAGCAAACAGGAUUAGAUACCCUGGUAGUCCACACCGUAAACGAUGAUUACUAGGUGUUGGAGGAUUGACCCCUUCAGUGCCGCAGUUAACACAAUAAGUAAUCCACCUGGGGAGUACGACCGCAAGGUUGAAACUCAAAGGAAUUGACGGGGGCCCGCACAAGCAGUGGAGUAUGUGGUUUAAUUCGACGCAACGCGAAGAACCUUACCAAGUCUUGACAUCCUGCGACGCACAUAGAAAUAUGUGUUUCCUUCGGGACGCAGAGACAGGUGGUGCAUGGUUGUCGUCAGCUCGUGUCGUGAGAUGUUGGGUUAAGUCCCGCAACGAGCGCAACCCUUAUGGUCAGUUACUACGCAAGAGGACUCUGGCCAGACUGCCGUUGACAAAACGGAGGAAGGUGGGGAUGACGUCAAAUCAUCAUGCCCUUUAUGACUUGGGCUACACACGUACUACAAUGGCGUUAAACAAAGAGAAGCAAGACCGCGAGGUGGAGCAAAACUCAGAAACAACGUCCCAGUUCGGACUGCAGGCUGCAACUCGCCUGCACGAAGUCGGAAUUGCUAGUAAUCGUGGAUCAGCAUGCCACGGUGAAUACGUUCCCGGGCCUU
rnacentral:rRNA from 1 species